GAUGAACGCUAGCGGCAGGCCUAAUACAUGCAAGUCGAGGGGUAGAGGUUGCUUGCAACCUUGAGACCGGCGCACGGGUGCGUAACGCGUAUGCAACCUACCUUCAUCAGGGGGAUAGCCCGGAGAAAUCCGGAUUAACACCGCAUAAAAUCACAGUACGGCAUCGUACAAUGAUCAAACAUUCAUGGGAUGGAGAUGGGCAUGCGUGCCAUUAGCUAGUUGGCGGGGUAACGGCCCACCAAGGCUUCGAUGGCUAGGGGAUCUGAGAGGAUGGCCCCCCACACUGGUACUGAGACACGGACCAGACUCCUACGGGGGGCAGCAGUAAGGAAUAUUGGUCAAUGGGCGCAAGCCUGAACCAGCCAUGCCGCGUGCAGGAAGACGGCCCUCCGGGUUGUAACUGCUUUUAUUCGGGAAUAAACCUGUCUACGUGUAGACAGCUGAAUGUACCGAAGGAAUAAGGAUCGGCUAACUCCGUGCCAGCCGCCGCCGUAA
rnacentral:rRNA from 1 species